AUAAGCGGAUGCGGUAGUAUCAAGAGUCUUGAGAUAUCUGCAGUGGGACUCGUCUCGUUAACAUAUGGAGGGAGUAAAAGCUGCAGGCUGUUGCUGAAGAAUGUUCCGAAUGUUCGUGAACUUGCUCUUGUCGAUGAAUUGUGUCUGUGCUUUGUUCUGGAACCAGAGAAGCACUCGAGCUAUUCCCCUCAGCUGGAGAAGCUUGUGUUGGAUAUAGGAAAACUGGAUAACCAGUACAGAUGAAUUGUUGCCCCUCCCGAUUCGCCUCAACUCUGCUCUCUCAUACGGCUCGAAGUGAAGGUUUACACAUUGCUCGGUCGAAGGCUCCUCUUCACACCGUUGAUCAAGGGAUCUCCACAUUUACGCGAGUUCAAAAUUGAGCUAAGCUACUCAGUGUACCCACAGAAUCAUACAAGGCCAGCAUUUCCUGGUAUAAUAUCGAAGGCCGGGAGAUUCGUUCAUAGAAAUCUUAAGGUGGUUGAGAUGGCCGGGUACAUAGGGUGUAGUUGUGCAGAAGAGUUGCUGUUGGAGUUGAUGAGGAAAUGCCCAUCAAUCGAGAGGAUUGUCAUUGAUACUGAGAGUGAUUAUUAUUCUGAUAAUCCUCGAUUAUCCCGUGAAAGUCGUUCGAAAGGAGGCAGACUUACAUAUGGCAGGCGAUGGUAUAUGAGGUCAACCACACGGAACGUAGCAAAAGAGUGCGCCCAACGUUUCGUAUCGAAAAUUCUGAAACAGAUCGAAGUCAGCGUUUCAUGAUAAGUGUUUGUUUAUGUUUUGCAUAAAUUCUCUUGUUUGUGCAAAUCACUCGCAUAUUCUAAUAGGACACUUGUAAGUGUAUUAUCAGAGUAUGCGAGUGGUCCGCAUUAUGCAAACGUAUGCGUAGACCUCCUUUAUGUGUUGAUUUGCUGCCAUAUUUGAAGGUAUUUAUUUAUUUGUUAGUA